rnacentral:rRNA from 1 species
UCAAAUUUGAAAUCUGGCACCUUCGGUGUCCGAGUUGUAAUUUGAAGAAGGUAACUUUGGAGUUGGGUCUUGUCUAUGUUCCUUGGAACAGGACGUCACAGAGGGUGAGAAUCCCGUGCGAUGAGAUGUCCAACUCUAUGUAAAGUGCUUUCGAAGAGUCGAGUUGUUUGGGAAUGCAGCUCUAAGUGGGUGGUAAAUUCCAUCUAAAGCUAAAUAUUGGCGAGAGACCGAUAGCGAACAAGUACAGUGAUGGAAAGAUGAAAAGAACUUUGAAAAGAGAGUGAAAAAGUACGUGAAAUUGUUGAAAGGGAAGGGUUUGAGAUCAGACUUGGUAUUUUGUAUGUCUUGCUUUCGGGUGGGGCCUCUGCAGUUUACUGGGCCAGCAUCGGUUUGGACGGUAGGAUAAUGACAUUGGAAUGUGGCACUACUUCGGUGGUGUGUUAUAGACUUUGUUGAUACUGCCUGUCUAGACCGAGGACUGCGUCUUUGACUAGGAUGCUGGCAUAAUGAUCCUAAACCGCCCGUCUUGAA